AUUGAACGCUGGCGGCAGGCCUAACACAUGCAAGUCGAGCGAGCGGCGGACGGGUGAGUAAUGCCUGGGAAUUGCCAAGUCGAGGGGGAUAACAGUUGGAAACGACUGCUAAUACCGCAUAGGAUUGGAUGGCCCAGGUGGGAUUAGCUCGUUGGUGAGGUAAUGGAUCACCAAGGCGACGAUCCCUAGCUGGUCUGAGAGGAUGAGCAGCCAAACUGGAACUGAUACACGGUCCAGACUCCGACGGGAUGCAGCAGUGGGGAAUAUGGCACAAUGGGGGAAACCCUGAUCCAGCCAUGCCGCGUGUGUGAAGAAGGCCUUCGGGUUGUAAAGCACUUUCGGCGAAGAGGCGUUACUCGCAGAAGAAGCACCGGCUAACUCCGUGCCAGCCGCCGCGGUAAUUC
rnacentral:rRNA from 1 species